rnacentral:rRNA from 1 species
GAGGAAUAUUGGGCAAUGGGCGGGAGCCUGAACCAGCCAAGUCGCGUGAAGGAAGAAGGGUCUAUGGUUCGUAAACUUCUUUUGCAGGGGAAUAAAGUGCAGGGCGUGUCCUGUUUUGUAUGUACCCUGAGAAUAAGGAUCGGCUAACUCCGUGCCAGCAGCCGCGGUAAUACGGAGGAUCCGAGCGUUAUCCGGAUUUAUUGGGGUUAAAGGGUGCGUAGGUGGUUUGAUAAGUCAGCGGUGAAAGUUUGCAGCUUAACUGUAAAAAUGCCGUUGAAACUGUCGGACUUGAGUGUAAAUGAGGUAGGCGGAAUGCGUGGUGUAGCGGUGAAAUGCAUAGAUAUCACGCAGAACUCCGAUUGCGAAGGCAGCUUACUAAGCUACAACUGACACUGAAGCACGAAAGCGUGGGGAUCAAACA